GACGAACGCUGGCGGCGUGCUUAACACAUGCAAGUCGAACGGACAGGCCCUGCUUUUGUUGGGUGCUCGAGUGGCGAACGGGUGAGUAACACGUGAGUAACCUGCCCUUGACUUUGGGAUAACUUCAGGAAACUGGGGCUAAUACCGGAUAUGAGCUCCUGCUGCAUGGUGGGGGUUGGAAAGUUUCGGCGGUUGGGGAUGGACUCGCGGCUUAUCAGCUUGUUGGUGGGGUAGUGGCUUACCAAGGCUUUGACGGGUAGCCGGCCUGAGAGGGUGACCGGCCACAUUGGGACUGAGAUACGGCCCAGACUCCUACGGGAGGCAGCAGUGGGGAAUAUUGCACAAUGGGCGGAAGCCUGAUGCAGCAACGCCGCGUGCGGGAUGACGGCCUUCGGGUUGUAAACCGCUUUCGCCUGUGACGAAGCGUGAGUGACGGUAAUGGGUAAAGAAGCACCGGCUAACUACGUG
rnacentral:rRNA from 1 species